UCUCUAACUUCUCUCUAACCUCCCUAAACCCCUCCCAAGUCUAGGGAACCUCCCUAUCACGAGAAGAAAGCCCCGGAGCGCCCGACGGCUCCGAGAAGAAAAGAUUUCGGCUCGGAAACGCUGCUCCAGCGAAGCCUGGUUUUUAAUAAAAACCCGCUGUUUCGUCAAGGGAUAAUUGUUUUAAGAGUAACGAAGUGCUGUCCGAGUGCCGACUCACCACCUUUCAGGUGACGAAGUGAAGUGACAUUGCACUGAGAGAUUUAAAAGAUAUGUAGAUCACUAGUGUAAAUCAUUGUAAGUUCUGUUUAUGCUUAUGUUUCGGUAUUAACGAUGACAUCCCAAACAUUUUAAAAUGAAAUAAAUACGUUUCUUCAAAAAUGUUUUAAUAACGUAUUUACCAUGUUUUUCUGGGAACAAAUUCCGCAACCUUUUUAUAAAAUGAAGUACUCUGAUUUUUAUAAAGCAUAAACAAAAUCGGUCUUUUAUGGCCGUGAUUUUGGGGAUGUCACAAGUCAGUUAAAUGGUCAUAAGAAAAAUAUAUUUAAGAAUUAGGGCCAAUCAUGAUAAUAAAGUUAUAAUUAGAUAUAUGCAUGUAUCAUGUCAUUGGUAAAUUGUCCAAAUCUUGUCACAAAUGUUUCGUGUUUAAGUGGACCACAAUACUGGUGAUCGAUCAGACGAAGAUGUGAAGAUAAGGGUACCGAUAAGUGGAAUAAGGUUGUCCAAUAACUUUGAUCCCAAAUCACUCUUAAAGUUAGCUAUUAUUUUUGUUUUUGUUAAGUUCGUUCAUAGUGUUCUUCUAAUUUAAAUAAAAGGGGAGAAUUAAAAUUUAAAAAAAAAUCAAAAAAAAUUCAAAAUCAAAAAUAGUGUUAUUUUUGUUUUACUUUUUGUUCUAAGUUUUCUUUUAGUUUUGUUUUGUCUUGAAAAGUGAUUUCAGGUAUAGAUAAGACUCAUGGAGAUUGUGUCGAAAAUUUAUGAACCAAGGCUUCGUCCGUGAGCAUCAAAGAAUUUUCAUUCGAAGAAGCAAGAAAUGAAUAUUAUUCUUUCGACAUUCAAUUCUUCAACCCCAGAAGCAAGGUGAAGCAGAAAUUGAAGAUUAUGUGACGGAUUGCAUUGGAGCCUCCUCAAUCAGUCUGCUGCUAUCGUUGUACCUGCUGAAGUGAUCCAGAAGAUUUGUUCUCUCUGAUGUUCUCUCUGAAGAUUCUCAAGCUGAAAGCGCUAUCUUUCAAGAAUCAGUACGUCAAGCCUCCUCACCCAAUGUGCGUUUAAUGUCAAAUUCUGAAGAAAACCUCAAGUGCUCAAGAUGAAGUCAUUCAUUGAAGAUUCAUAUGUUCAUCCUGAUGCUGUGAAGAAAUCGAAGGUUAAAGCUGAAGCCAAGCUCCCAUUGGAAAUUGACAAGAAGAGCUAGUUACUUUUUAGGGGGAGCUUGUUGGGUCAAUUAAGAAAAGAAAGUUAUAAACCAAGAGGGAGAUUGUUGGGUCAAAAAUAUGGUUUAUACUUUACUUUUCUGGGCAAUUGUAUUUUUCUGUAAUAUUUUUGGAGUUUACGAUCAUGUUUACGGUUGAGUUUACGGCCGUAAACACCUUAUGACCGUAAACCCAUUUACGGCCCAUGUUAUCCGGCCCAUGUUCUCCAAGUAUAAAUAUAGGUGUUAGGGUGAGGAGUAGAGAUUGAUGAACUGAAUAGAGAGAAACGGGAGCUUAUGUGUGUGUGUGUGUGAAUCUCAUGUAAAGGAGCAUCACUCCAAUCUAUUCAAUACAUUGAAGAUUCAUAUUA